UCUUCACCCUGGGCACAGAGAAGGACACCACCCAAGUCCAGACUCUGCACAAGGUGUUACCAGAGCUCCUGGAUGCCAUGCUGGGGAACCUGCUGGCAGAGUCCCCAGACACAGACAGGCUCCACUACAUCUUGGAGCAUGUCAACUUCUGGAUUGUGUCCAGGGUGUCCCAGGAGAGAGUCAAGGCCAUAAGAAG